rnacentral:rRNA from 1 species
UACGUAGGGUGCGAGCGUUGUCCGGAAUUAUUGGGCGUAAAGGGCUCGUAGGCGGUCUGUCACGUCGGGAGUGAAAACUCGGGGCUUAACCCCGAGCCUGCUUCCGAUACGGGCAGACUAGAGGUAUGCAGGGGAGAACGGAAUUCCUGGUGUAGCGGUGAAAUGCGCAGAUAUCAGGAGGAACACCGGUGGCGAAGGCGGGUCUCUGGGCAGUAACUGACGCUGAGGAGCGAAAGCGUGGGGAGCGAACAGG